GUAUGCGAAAGCACUCAGUCAAAGUAUACGCACAGAGCGUUUUAGACGUAAAAGAAAAAGCCUUCCUGUAACUCCACAAGAACAACAGCUGCCCCCUAAAAGGUUCACUGUGGGAAAGCACAUAGUUACAGACGCCAGUAAUGCUCUUCCAGAAGAAGAGUUUGAAAAGCAUGUUCUUGAAAUCCAGAAGGUUUGGAAUACUUCAGCAUGCAGUAGCUCACAUGUAGAUAUGCUGCUCAGGGAAUCCUACUGCAACAGAAGACAAUGGUUGCCAUAUCUACCAAAUGGGAAAUUGGCACCAAUACUGGAGAAAUUCCCAUGUUUUCAAGAGUCAAGCUAUGUACUGCGUGAAGUGGAACGCAUGUUGCUAUGUGAAGUAUCAACAUGGAAGGACAGAUUGGAGAAAAUUGUUGAGGCCCUGAGCGAUCAAGUACCUUCUAGUGCAUGUAACAAUGAUAAUGAUCAGCAUACCGUGGACAUCAUCAGAUUCAUUGAAAAAUCUGUUGCCUUUAAGAAGGGUAAAGGCAUUAAAUCAAAAUCCUGCUUUACGGUUGCGGAUUUUAACAUCUCUGAUGCUGACAAGAAUGACUUGUGCACCUCCUCUGAAUUAUCUCCUCCUCACAUUGUGAUGUUUCUUGAUGGAAGUAAAUAUGUGGAUGGAUAUAUUGUGGGAGAUAAUUGUAAGAUUGCUUGCAAGAAUCUCAAAAGUGCUGGAGAAAUCUUUAUAACAUUAUUGGCUUGUUAUUAUUGCUUUGAUUUCUCAUAUCCCCGUAUUUACUCUCAGCUCUUGGGGUUCCUACAGCAAUGUGUUAUGCAUGACCAGUAUCAUCUUGAAAAGUCAUCUGACUACAAGCACUUCAUUGCACAAUGUCAGAGUUUCAUUGGAUAAGGAUUUUAGGUUCCCUAGAUUUUCAUGUUCUACACCUUUUAACCUUAAAUUUAAAAAAAUUGAACUUCCAAUUUAAAAAAAACUGACUUUCAGAUUGAAAAAGCUGACUUUCAAAUUUAAAAAAGUUGACUUUCGAAUUAAGAAAACUGACUCAAAUUAAAAACAAAACUGACUUUCAAAUUAUAAAAGUUGACUUUCAAAUUAUAAAAGUUUACUUUCAAAUGAAAAAAGUUGAACUUCAAAGUAAAAAAGCUGACUUUCAAAUUAGAAAAAAAAUUAUUUUCGUCUAUUUCCACCAUCACUGAUUUCCAACACCACCCAUUUUCACCAUCACCCAUUUCCACUACCAUCACCCAUUUCCACUACCACUACUCAUUUCCAUUCUCCCAUUGCCAUUCACUCAUUUUCACUAAUCCAACUCCACCAUCACCCAUUUCCACUCACCCAUUUCCUCCACUACCCAUUUUCACCAUCACCCAUUUCUACUCAACCAUUACCACAACCACCACUAUCACCACUACCCCCACAACCACCACUAUCACCACCACAACCACCACUAUCCUCACAACCACCAUCACGACAACCAUCACCACAACCACACCACACCACAACCAAUAGUUGUGGUGAUAGUGAUGGUUGUGGUAAUGGUUGAGUAGAAAUGGGUAGUAGAGGAAAUGGGUGAUGGUGGAGUUGGAUUAGUGAA